AUCUGCUGAAUUCUAUCCCAGGGGCUCCCAACAGUGAAUGUGCAUGUGGGAAGGGUGUACUUGUUACUCUGUAAGACAACAUUGAUGUGGAGGCACCAUGGCAGGCUAGAGAGGUUACACCUUGCCUCAGACAUUCACAUUCACUUAAACACUGUUCUGGACAAAUAUAAACUUUUUACGGGGUCUGAUUCAGCCUAGAGGCAGUUAGUUUGAGUCCCCUGACAUAAAUCCUCAAAAUAUGGUUGGUUCUCAGGUUAUACCAAAUAUAUAAUGAACUUGACUUGUGGUUUAGUGUUGAACAGAUCUACUCUGAUGGGAGAAAUGAUAAAAAGAAGCCAUUGGAUUGCUUCUAAAUCUAAGUCAUCAUCUCUUUCUACCAAAGCCAUGCCCAGGGUUUCACAAAUAAGUGACCACUUAGGCAGAAAAUCACUCAGAAGAUGGUAAGGAGAAGAGGGGGUUGGUUUGUUGGUUAGUGCUAUGCACUCAGCACUCCACACACACACCAUUUUUUUCUUUAUUUGGACUCCAGGCUGUAACAGGUUGUGUCUAAGCCUGGAAGAUGGUCAAGUACUCUGGUAAGAGGUCAUUCCUGGUCACUGGGGUGGGAAUCCCAGAAUGUGUCAUUGCGUUAGGAAGGAACCCAUGGUUGGGUUGAGCGAGGGCAAUGGAAAAAAGGGAAAAGGUCUAGGGAUUAACAUCAAAGAAGGAUAUAGUAAGAGGAAUUAGAAGAGUAGCAAGUAAUUAAAGGGAGAACUCUUUACAUGAUAAAAUCUCUGAAAGUAAGAAGACUCUUCAGGGUUUCAUCAACCAGUUUAUUUAGUGAAAUUUAACUUAUACUCCCUAUGUAACAGCAGCUUGAAGGAAGUCUGGCUGUGGAACUGGUCUCAAAGACCCCCCAGCACCCAAGGCAUGUGUGGUGUAGGACACAACUGGGAGUCACAGAGCAAGGUACCGUGUUGGCAAAGAUUUUGAAGUCUGACAAUGCAACUGGGAAAAAAGAGAACCUUCAUAUACCGCAGAAGAGAAUGGAAAUUGGUUUGACUGUUCCGGAGUGCAAUUUGUUAACACCUUAUAGAGCUAAAAAUGCACCAGUUCAUCAAACCAGACAUACCACUUCUAGGUAGAAACUGUCUCGAGAUCCUCAAAUUCUCUGAAUAAAAAACCAAGUGUUAACAUUCCAACCUGUUGAGGAUCAAUAUUUUUGUAAAAUACAGUAAAAACAUAAAACAAAUAAAACAUAAACAUAGACAAAAUAGGA